GCCAGCAGCCAUGUCACCCUGCAACUUACAAUUGGAAGCCCACUGAAGCUAAGCAGGUGUGAGCCUGGUCAGUACCUGGAUCGGAGACCUCCUGGGGAAAAACUAAGGUUGCUGCUGGAA
rnacentral:rRNA from 1 species